UAUUUAACUAUUUUCUCCUUUUUAUUGCAAUUUCUACUUCAUACUACUAAAAAACCCCAGGAAAAAAAAAGAAAAAUCCCACCGGUUCGGUGCUUUCGCGUAGAAUCCCAAGAGUCGCUUCUUAAAAACCACCCAAUAAGCUAAAGCCUUUGGCCUCACAUGCCGCUUCAACCAAACACGGCUUCUCUUAAAAAAAAAAAAAAAAAAAAAAAAAACUGAAGAGAAGUUUACCGGUGAGGAUUGAGGAAGAUCGUUUGUUAAUUCAUCUAUUCUUUCACAUAAACUUCUUAAACUCUACGAACUUUGAUUAUUUAUUUUGUGGGACAAUCUUUUUGUUGCUACAAUUGCAUCUUUUAAUCAGUUUGUCAUCUUUUUCGCUCUGUAUAUCGUAUUGGAAAAUUCUGGUGGGAUUCCUUUUAUUUGUGGUUCACCAGAUGUGGCUCAAUGUCUCUACUUUGGGACUUAGUAAGUUAAGAAAGACAAUAAAGAGUUGUGAGAGUUAAAAUAAACAAUCAUGUCCAUUAUGACCCUCUAAUUCUGGUGAUAGUCAUGGAUAAGUUCUUCGAAUCUCAAGUUCAAGCAAAUAAGCAAAGAGCUCAUAGGUACAUGUCGAACCAUCUUUAUUCGUUGAAGCAUAUGCUAUUCUACCCCUGAAGGUGGUUGUUGCUUUAUGCGGAGGGAAUCUAAAGUGUGUGCAAAGGGCAUGAAUUUCGACCCCUCCGAUGGAAAUAAAAAAAACAGAUCCCACACAACAACUUCUACCAACGAAGUGUCCAGGCAAAUUACCCUGAUUAUUUCAGGGGCAGAGCCAGAUAAAGCUUAAUUGCAUAUUUCUGUUUGGAGAUGCAGAUUCAGGAGGAAAACGUUUGGUGAUUUUUCCAAAGCUUGGCCGUUCACUCUUUCUUAUUGUACAAG